UGAGGAACAUGACUUUCGGUAGGGGAUAGCCGGCCCAACGGCCGGGUAAUACCGCGUACGACCACAUGGGGACAUCCCUGAGUGGUGAAAGCAGCAAUGCGCCGAUGGAGUGCCUCGCGGCCUAUCAGCUAGUUGGUGAGGUAACGGCUCACCAAGGCGACGACGGGUAGCCGGCCUGAGAGGGCGAUCGGCCACACUGGGACUGAGACACGGCCCAGACUCCGUACGGGAGCA
rnacentral:rRNA from 1 species